rnacentral:rRNA from 1 species
AUGGGUAUCUGCCUCGGCAAGACUACUACUUCGCGCUCGCCAUGGCCGGACCUCCCCCCCGACCUUGCCGCCCUCAUCAUAUCCCGUCUACCGUCCCAUCGAGACCGCCUCAGUUUCGGAGCCGUCUUCCGUGACUGGCGCCUCGCUGCGCGUCAGGAGCUGCCGCCGGCGAUGCCGUGCAUCAGCCUCGGCCGCGGCGCUUACCAGAGCAUCGCCGAUGGCAAGGUGUUUCGCUCGAGCCAUGGCGCCGACGUCACCUCCUUCGGCAGCUACCUUCUCUACAAGCACAGCCGCCGACUCUUCCUUCGCGAUUCUUCGUCCACCAUCGAGAUCCCAAGGGACCACCAUGAGUGUGCUGACGAGUGCAGCGAUAGGGGCGCCCAUGACCCAUGUGGCUCCAAGAGAACAUGGCCACUGAUUCCCGCAGAGGGCGUCGCCUUCACCAUGCGUAAGGUCCUCGUGUGCUCGUCCAGUCUCCUCGUUGCGAUCCUUAACCGUGACGCCGGAAGGCCAGUUUCCGCUUAUUGCUUGGUGUUUUUCCGGCCGGGCACCGGUCAGCUCUCAUGGGUGCUUCUGCUUACCACCAAUAUGUAUGGGUACAAGCAUGGGUACAAGUACAGGGACAUUGCCUUGUACCGUGGAAAAAUCUUCGCGCUCAUAUCAUCGGAGCAGCUCUUCACCCAUGAGAUUGAACAGCCAUGUCGCGUACAGCAUGUCAUCAAGGAACACACACCGCUGCCGCCCGGGAUCGGUCCAUCGUCGCCGAAGUUUCUUGUGAAGUACUACAUAGUCGUCUCAUCCGAUAAUAGAAAGCUAUUAAUGGUGCGGUGGAACAUCCCUCACGCGGCCUACGUUCAUCAUUCAAAGAUGAAUCUGCAGGUGUUCGAGGCAGAUUUGGAGAAGAGACAGUGGUUGGAGGUGAAUGACUUGGAUGGCCAGCUCCUCUUCCUGAGCAGGACUUGCUCAAGGGCACUCGCGGGCUCGUCGACGGAACACUACGGGCAGACAUUUCGAGGAAAUCGUGUGUUUAUCUUGGGCACUGACUGGGCACGGAUACGGAGGCGGUUGAACCCAUGCACGUGCCAUGAUUGCGAGAAGCUCGGCAAUGGUGUUCCAAGCUAUUGCGUGUAUGACAUGACGAGUGGAAAGCUUAGCCUUGUUUCGUUACGUAGAACUCGUAGAAGGAAAAAUGCAGGUUCAGAAUGGUUCUUCCCUUCUGGGUGA